rnacentral:rRNA from 1 species
GGAAUAUUGCACAAUGGGGGAAACCCUGAUGCAGCCACGCCGCGUGAAGGAAGAAGUAUUUCGGUAUGUAAACUUCUAUCAGCAAGGAAGAUAAUGGCGGUACUUGACUAAGAAGCCCCGGCUGACUACGUGCCAGCAGCCGCGGUAAUACGUAGGGGGCAAGCGUUAUCCGGAUUUACUGGGUGUAAAGGGAGCGUAGGUGGCAUGGCAAGUCAGAUGUGAAAGCCCGGGGCUCAACCCCGGGACUGCAUUUGAAACUGCCAGGCUGAAGUGCAGGAGAGGUAAGUGGAAUUCCUAGUGUGGCGGUGAAAUGCUUAGAUAUUGGGGGGAGCACCAGUGGCGAAGGCGGCUUACUGGACUGUAACUGA